ensembl:lncRNA
UGGUCCAUUCAGACUAGUGUCCCCAGUCUUCUUCGGAACGCUGUCCAACCUCUGCCGAGCUGAGACUUGAAGACCUCACAGACCGUCCCCCUGCCAGGCAUUCCCACCGCACCCUCUGUCAUGGUCCGGCUUCACAGAGGUUUGGAUCUCGCUGUCAUUAACCUCUCUACUUCCUGUCGCUGUUUUUUGUUCUCGGCGCUCCACGCCUGCCUGCCUCCCUGCCCAGCACUUCACAGCGAGUGUGCGCGAACUGGUUUAGCCUCACCUGGACCACUAUUCCCCCCAAGCCUCGCCUUCCACCCAGACAAUGACUCUGACAGCGUAACCCUGUAAACCUCUACCUUGUGUGCCUGCUAGAGCCGUGCCCAGGCUGUUUUCUCCAGCCA